UCGGUUAACAGGAGGUUGGAGGUUGGAAAUAAUAAUUGUUAAAAAAAUAAAAAAUUAAUGGCUUUGAAAAAUUGACAGAUCAGUCCAAGAGGCUAAUGUAAAUAAAUAUCAUCAAAAUUUAAGCUCGCACGAACCUGAGAUUAUACACCCGUACCCGUUCUUUUACGCUGAAAAGCCGGCGACCCCGAGGAAAGACAUCCUAAGGAAGAAUAUGUCGAAGUUUCAAACACCAGAAAGUAUCAAAAUAAAUCCUCAGGAUGGUGCAACCUUCAGAGAGAUUGUUAGGUUUAUAAUGAAGCAAACGGGAUAUGAUGAGGGACGUACAAAAAAAUCAGUGAUUGAGGUGUUAAAAGCAGGUAUGGCAAUGAAAAAAAUUAUGAAAACACCGAGUGAAAAAUAUUUACUGAUUCGUGAUUCUUCAAAACCACUAUAUAUUAAUUAUCA